UGAACAGGCUGCUCAGUAGUUGGUGUAGGAUCUGUUUGAUAAUACCAACAGCUACAUCUGAUUACUGGGUUUCUUGUGCCAUCG
rfam:Ophiophagus hannah scaffold3923.1, whole genome shotgun sequence.